CUCUUUUCGAUUAUUUGAAAAGUAUAACCUGCCCACUGACUUAAGUUAAAGGGCCGCGGUAAUUUGACCGUGCAAAGGUAGCAUAAUCAUUAGUCUCUUAAUUAGAGGCUGGAAUGAAUGGUUGGACGAGAUAAAUACUGUCUUAUAAUUUAAUUUAGAAUUUAAUUUUUAAGUAAGAAAGCUUAAAUUUAAUUAUGGGACGAGAAGACCCUAUAGAGUUUAAUAAUUGUAUUUAUAUUGUGUGUUUGAUUAUUAAUUUAUAAAUUUAAUUUUUUUGUUGGGGUGAUGGAAAGAUAAUAUAAACUCUUUUUUUUGUUAUAUAUUUAUUUAUAGAAUUUUGAUCCAUUAAUAAUGAUUAUAAGACUAAAUUACCUUAGGGAUAACAGCGUAAUCUUUUUUGAGAGUUCAUAUCGACAAAAGGGAUUGCGA
rnacentral:rRNA from 1 species